rnacentral:miRNA from 1 species
UAGAGUGACCAACCAUCCUGGUUUGCCUGAGACUGAGGGGUUUCCCAGGAUAUGGGACUUUGAGUGCUAACACCAGGACAGUC